rnacentral:rRNA from 1 species
CGAUAUUUUGUUUGAUGAUUGAUGCAGUUAAAAAGUCCGUAGUUUAUAUUUAAGAAGCAUUGUGAGGUGUACUGUAUGGUUAGGAGAGAGAUGAAAUGUGAUAACCCUAACUGGAUGAACAGAAGCGAAAGCGUACACUUGUAUGUAUUUUUAGACAAGGACGUAAGCUAGAGGAUCGCAGAUGAUUAGAUACCAUUGAU